rnacentral:rRNA from 1 species
AGCAGCCGCGGUAAUUCCAGCUCCAAUAGCGUAUAUUAAAGUUGUUGCAGUUAAAAAGCUCGUAGUUGAAUUUCGGGAUCAAUUGAUUGGUCAUGCCUACGGUAUGUACUAGUCAUAUUGGUUCUCACCUUCUAAUGAACCUUAAUGUCAUUCACUUGAUGUUUUGGGGAAUUAGGACUGUUACCUUGAAAAAAUUAGAGUGUUUAAAGCAGGCUUACGCUUGAAUACAUUAGCAUGGAAUAAUGAAAUAGGACAUCGCAUUCUAUUUUGUUGGUUUCUAGGAUCACCGUA